GAAAUGCACGUGAACGUCGAUUGCACCGGCCGUGGCGAUCAUGCCCUCGCCGGAACGAAUGUCGGUGCCGGCCCCGAUGACGAGUUCGGGAUCGACCCCGGCCAUUGUGCGUGGGUUGCCGGCCUUACCGAUCCCGGCGAUGCGACCGUUGCGAAUCCCGAUGUCGGCCUUUCGGAUACCCAGGACCGCAUCGAUGAUCAAUGCGUUGGUGAUGACGAAAUCCAAAGCGCCUUCGGCGUUGGUGACGUCACCCUGUACGGCCAUCCCCUCGCG
rnacentral:sRNA from 1 species